rnacentral:lncRNA from 1 species
UUAUGGUCACUGUCUUCAACCUGCUAACCAAAUCCAAAAAAUUGGUCUUCCCGACUGAGUAAGUGAGCCCUGAAAAGACAUUACCCAGCUUAAAAGCCAAAUGAAUGUAGACUUGUGAUUGGUGCAAUUGGUUUUAAAGAAAUUAGUAUGCAUCCCCACUGAAAGCCAGUAAAUAGAGUUGAAGAAGAUGCUAAUGUGCCACAGCUAACAUAAGCAUAAUUUGAUCAGCCGAAUGACUACCAAAUGAAAAAGCGACAUAAACUUAACAGAACUGUUAGGAUUAAUCGAAGACACAUAUAUUUGUGCCAAUUUUCACACCUUUAGCAUUCAAACCUUGCUCUAGAACAACUGCUGUGGUCCGAUGCUGCAGGCAAAAAAUUUGACCUACGAAGCAGCCUCACUCACCAACCCAGCCCCAAAUAAAUUUUUUGAAAUGCCUUGAAAACCUUAACAUUAUAUCCAAAUAAACAUAACUUGUGUUUGUGACGUAAUGAGAUUGCAGUGCAUUCGUAGAGUGUACACUUAUCUGCCAUUUCGUCGGAACAAAUUUUUUUACUUCUCUUAAAAUUUGCAUAAUAAAUUGCAAUAUGGACAAGUACCUACUUGGAUAUGAUUAUAUUUUUGUUCUAGUUUAUAACCUGUUUUCAAUUUUUUAGAUAUCUAUGAUUUUCAUUAAAUCACUACUCUAGUUGGCAUUUCGCACCACCCGCAAUUGAUUAGUUGCUCUCUAAUCCAACAAAAUUAAUAUGGAAAGAAAUGAAUGGCCAGCGAUAAAUAUUCCAACAUUAUGCAUUAAGCCAUUCCACUCCUACAAAACUGAAUCUCUUUGACAGAAUGCUUUUUCACGUGAUCAUGUAUGUGUCAAAGUUUUGUGACAGAUAUAUUAUUUUGCAGAUGUGGCAAACACAAUCGUUUCAAAAUCUUAGAGGCCUUGAAAUUUUGAUUAUUACAAAAUCUAAGAGGAUAGUUACAAAAUUCUGUCACAAAUAGUAAAAGUUAAGUGAUUCUUGACAUAAUACUAUCAAAAGGUUUAAAUAAAAUCUCACAUUUUAAUAUUUUACAAAAAUGUGUUUUAAAUUUUUUUUUUGACAUAAUUCUAUCCAUGAAUUUUCUUUUAAAAUUUUUAAUUCCACGUAGGCAUUGAAAAAUGACAGCUUUAAAAGAUUCCAAUGAUUUAACUGAUGUGAAUAUAUCUUCAAUAAGUCAACAACAAAAUUCUAUGAAACAAAAUUUACUAUUUUAAUUAUUUUAUAUUGCCACAUCAAUAAACUAAAACGAUGACAUUUCAUAUGCUCAAAAAAGAAAAACUUAUGUAGGCCGAGAUCGCCAUCUCAUCAUUAUUAAAGAGGCGUGUUCAACCAAUAAGAAUUUGCCAUCUAAAAAGUUCAAUCAGUCUUUUGAAAAGCCUGGCUCGAGUCUGAGCCUGAGUGUUUCAGGUCGGACUCAGCCUAAGCUUGGGCAUAAAACAGUAAAACACAAUAAAUGCUCAAAAAAUAAAAGAAUAAAUAUUUUAUUUUUAAUUAAAAUACACUUUUUAAUAUAUGUUUAACGUAUCCGGAACAUAUAUUUAAAGUUUUAAUUCUUUAACAGAACUUUUAAUACCUAAUCUAAUAAGAAAGUUUAUAAAUUAUAAAUUUAUAGAAUACAAUGAAAAAGGUUUAAAAAAAUUAAAGUAUAAAUAUGAGGUUUUACAAUUAAAAUAUCAAAUGGUGGCAAAAUGAGCAGCCAAAAAGUGCGCCAAAUCAAAAUUAUCCAAAAUUCCUCUCUUCGAUUCCCUUUUUAUUUUAUGUACCGCUGAUAUAAAAUUAACACAAAAACAUUCUGAAAUCGAAAGCUUGGAACGAAUCUCACGCCUCUCGCCUUCUCUUUCUCGCAUUUCUCAUUCCUCUUUGCCUCUCUCUCUCUCUCUCUCAAAGGAUUACGUUUAUGGAUUUGCCAUUGNNNNNNNNNNNNNNNNNNNNNNNNNNNNNNNNNNNNNNNNNNNNNNNNNNNNNNNNNNNNNNNNNNNNNNNNNNNNNNNNNNNNNNNNNNNNNNNNNNNNNNNNNNAGAGAGAAAUGUUCAAGUCAGGAAUUUUAAAGUGCAGGAAAGUACGGGAAACCUUUAAAACCGCAUGGUUUUAAAGGCUUAAAACUGUAAGCCUUUAAAGCCGUGUGAUUUUAAAGUUUUUCUGGACUUUCCCGUACUUUAAAUUCCCUGACCAGAAAACUACUAUAUAUAUAUAUAUAUAUAUAUUUGUAUAAUUUCAGCAAAGGUCCAGAUCGCUCAAGGCCUAAUUUCAUCUCAAGGUUUGUCAUUUUCCUCUUGAUUGCCUUUCGUCAUUGGUUUCUCAUGUGACAUUACUUUACUUUGUUCUUUGCUUAUUGUAAAUUUAUUCACGGUUUCUACAUUAUAAGUUACGGUCUUUGUUUACUUUUAUUAAAAAUUAUGGUAUAUGAAUAAUAAUAAUAAUAAUAAUAAUAUUGGCUUGUUUGCGUAAUUGUCUUCGAUAUUGACUGUAUUUACAAGAUUCUCUGUGACAUAUUUCUUAUUGUGAUUGUUUAAUUAGUCUCGAUUGCAAUUUUUACAAGAUUUGAUGAAUGUUAAAAUUUAAGUACCAAUUUAAAUUUGUACACCAAGUGUUUGUUAUAAUGCCAUGUGUUAUCUUCAAUAGAUUUUUUUUUUCUUUAACACGUAGUAUAAGCCUGAUAAUAUUUUUCAAUUUCUUUCCAAGAUGCAGUUUUUGAUAAAGAAUAAAACAAAUGAUUGAGACUGUUUCGAUGCUAAUUUUUCAAAUUAGCGCAUAUUAUGCUACUUCAUCUCAAGCAACCUAUGAUGAUAGCUAAUAUUGAUGCAAUAUUCUGUCAUGCCUGCGGAUUCAACUUGCUAAGAUUUUGGUUAUGCCUUCAGGUUCAAGCAUUGUUGCUGAUUAUGUGAGCUGUUGAGAUUUUAGUAUUGAGCAUGGCUGCUUUAGAUUCAAUUUGAGCAAAUGUAAUUGUUUCCUUUUAAAAAAAAAUUACAUUUUCAGAAACUGUUAUAAAGAUUGUCAGCAGUAUUAUUUCGUAUUAAUGUCAACUUCUCAUUUACAUAUCUUAACUAAAGCUUUAAUUUCUUUUAAUUUCUCCAUCCUUCAGGGGAGGAUUUGAUGAUUUGCUAUUGUGUGAGAAGAAAGCCAAGAAGCAGAUGUAGAGGGUUGUUAUUGUUUGGGAAUUAUUUUUCAGUGGGGACAAUUUCAUAAAAGUAAUUUAAUAAUGGAUCAAUUUUAUAAAUUUUCUUUUGUAGUCAGGGCGAACUAAUAUGUUACAAUUCAAAAUAUUAGCGAAACGAUUUUCUUCUCUCUCUCAAAUCAUGCUCACCACUCUCAAUCGAAAAAACAUAGUCCUCUGCUCUGACUUCUCAGUUCUCACCCUUAAUAACACAGUUCUUUUUUUGUACUCCAUCGAAAAUUCAUAAAAUAAUGAUAAUGAGACUAUUAUUGAAUAUUUUUAAAAUAUGAAAAAGCAUUGAGAACAAGUGUAAGAAUAUUUUUACUGAUAUCAAUGAGUAUUAAACUUUAAACAAUUAUUUUCACUAAUUCUUUUAUUAUAAUAUUGUCCCCAAUGAAUUAAUUUCCUGGAUCACCUCUAUUUGAAUUUUAUUUUUUUACUAUUUUUUUCUCAUUGUUAAAUUUUCACAUAUGUAUCUUUCAAGUACAAAAUCCCUUUUUUUCUCUUUUUUUUUUCUUAAUCUUGUUUAAUAAGAACUGAAGUUAAUCUUAAAUGUUAAUUGUUCGUUUUGACAAACAUAGUUCUAUGUGUAUGUGACUUUUAAUUUCUGUUAUUCCCUUUUUUCAGAUGUAACCUUGAACAUUAUUAUAACAUAGUGUGGUUUUUUCUUAUAUUAAAAGUUUGGAGGUGGUCAAAUGGGUAAAUUUUCCAAUAAUUUUCCAACGUGUCUAUGAAUCUUGUGUCGGCUCUUCAUAAUCUUUAUCAAAUUCUCAAUAAUUUUUAUCUUAUCUGAUAUAAUAUUAAAAGCUUGAACUCCUAUAGAACUCUCGAUGAAUUUCUUUCUAUUUCUUGGAGUUCACUUAUACGUGACAGAUGUAAAAUUUAAACCCUAAUAUCAAUGAAAAUACGUAUUAUCCCAAGUAAUUAAAUGGGACCGUUUUGCUAGGAAACAGACAAGAAACGACAGUGAAUACAUUUUACACCAAAUUUCUUAAAAAGAAAUUGAUAAAAUAGGAUGCCUGCGUUCCAAGAGUGCUUUCUUAAAAAUAGAUACACAAAAAUAUUUUAAAGUGUUUUUAUAAGGGGAAAAAAAACUUAUUAAUAUGAUGCAUGCAUUUCAAGAGUGUGCUUUCUUAUAAAUUGUUGUUAUGAAAAUAAUAAUAAUAAUAAUAAAUUAAGAUUUGAAUUUGAAUGACUAAUUAAUUAAUUAAACUAGUAGUAGGUAAACCCAUGUUAUUAAUUUUUUUUAAUUUUAUAUUAUAAGUUCUGAUUACAUUCCUCAAAUCUGUUGAAAGUUAUGCACUUAACACAUCUGAAGAAAAAUUGAGUUUGAUAUAUUGAUUGAUUGCACAAAUAUGGUCUAUAUAGAGUAGACGGACCCCGUUGGGAGACAUUUUGAUAUGAGGGUCUGAGGAUGGGUUUGUGUUUUCCAAUUGAGUUUGAUUAUAUUGAUUCACAAAUAUUCAUGUCUUGUUUUUGGUUGGUGCAUACUUUUAAUUAGGGAUGGCAAUGGAUUGGAUCUGAUCCAAGAUUCAUGUGAUCCAAAUCCAAUCGGAUCGGAUUUGAAUCGGUUUAAAAUGGAUUUGGAUCGGAUUUGGAUAUCCAUGUGCGGAUCUAAGACGGAUCUAGAGCAGAUCUAAAUCUAUCUUAAUAUCUAAAUCCAUAUCCAUAUCCACUCAUCUUUUAAUUUUAUUUUAUUUUAAAUGUUUCUUAACAAUUGUGAAAUUAUAAUGAUAAUAAAUUUUAUUCAUAACAUAUUAGUAGUAUUUACUAUCCAUUUAAACUCUCAAAACUUAAAUGUUAGUUUUGUAAAUUUAAAGGUCAGCCAGCCCCAAAGCAUGUACAUGCAAUAUUCAAAUUGCAAGUCAAGUAAUAUAACCUGGCAAUUUAUUUUAUUAUAUUGGCCAAAUAAUUUUUAAGAAAUAUAGUUAUUCAUAUAUUUAAUCAAAUAUGGUCAUAAUAAAAAUAAUAAAGGACUGAAUAUAAAUCAUAUUUAAUUUAUAUGUCAUUAUCUAAUGUUGUAGGAAUGAUGGUAGGUGUAUCGUGGAUAUUAGAAUGAUGAAGGAGACAAUAGAAUAUUAGAUUGGUCUUACUCCUGCAAUUACUUCGGAAUGAUAUUUUAUUAUCUUUCUUAUUUGUUGUUUUGGUGUAAAAGUAUAAGCUACAAUAUUUAUUAUAUUUUUGAGAAAAUUAUAUAAUUUAUUUGUUAUCAAUACAUUUUAGCCUUCAAUUUUCAAUCUAAAAAAUUAUUACUUUUUUAUUACUGAAUUUUAGAAUUCAUGACGGAUCUAGAGCAGAUUUGGAUUUUAAUUUUUUUUUUCGGAUUUGGAGCAGAUAUAGAUAUUUAUUUCUUUUUUGGAUCUGGAUAUGAAGCGAAAAAUAUGGAUUCAUGACGGAUCUGGAGCAGAUACGGAUCUUAAUUUUUAUUAUGGAUUUGGAUUUGGAGCAAAGUAGAUCCAAUCCAUAUCUAUACCAUUGCCAUCCCUACUUUUAAUGACUUUGUUUUGCGGUUCUUGUGUUGUAUGUACAUAUUGUUUCCUUUUCUGUCACUAUAUUCUUACAAGGACUUUUUUGAUAGAAUAAAAUUAUGUCAGUAACAUGGUCUGUGACAAAAAUUAUUCUGUAAAAAAAAAAAAACUCAAUUUUGUAGUGGUUCCAAAUAAUGGUUUAGUUUCUUUCCUCCUCGUUUUGUCAAUAAUUGAUUCUAUUCCUGGUUAAAACAAGUUCUUUACUUCUCUAAAAAUGUGCAUAAUUUCCCCACUUAUAGAAGUGUCAAGAUAUUUUUGACUUUCUUUUUUUUUAAGGACUAAUACUAAUUUAUUGUUUGGUUGUAAGUACUAGAAAUCAAACAGGAGAAAAUAAUUGAGUUUUUUUUGUUAACUUAAAAAUACGUAUUAUAAAUGUUACUUAUACAAAUGCAUAUUACUAUUCAAAAUAAUAAAAAUUUUGCAUUGGAAACAAUUUUGAAAAAAAAAUAAAAGUUUUUAAUGGAGAAAGGAAUUGUGGAGGGAAAGUUUGAUAGAAGAUGCACACUAGCUAGUUUUGGAAUUAUACCGUCAGGCGUCAAUCAUUUUAUAAAAAAAAAUGGAAAUAAUUUGAUCAGCCACCAGAGUUUUACUUCAGUGAUUUUCUCAAUACGACGUACGGUCCUCAAAACCUUAUCAUGAUGCUUGUAUAUUCUAAGCUUCAUGACAUCAUAUUAAAAACGUAUUGCUAAGGUAAUUUGAAAUUCGUUUUAUCCAAUGAAUGUUACAUUUACUGGUAUGUUUAAUAUUUUGUUUUGGUUAAAAAUUUUGCUAUCUAACAGCUAAUAACUGAAUUUGACUCAUUUUUAUGUAAAUUUUAUAGACCCACCGAUUCACCAUUUUUUUUAAUGUUAUGAUCAUUGUAGGCAUGUUAUAUUUUAAAUUAUGACUCCAUGCGAAAUCAAAAUUUAAAUUUCACCAUCUUUUAUAGGAUUAGAUUAUGAUAAUCAAAUAACACAAUAAACAAACACAAGGUAAAAAAAUUUACAUGGUUCGACAUAUUAAUUAAUAUGCCUACAUCCACGGAUGAUGAUAUUAAUUAAUGAAAAAGUGUAUAAAUAACAAUAAGCUCUCAUGUGCGCCAAAAAGAAAAAAAAAAGAAACACCAAAAUCAACACUCAAAAUCAAUCAAUCCCCAGCAGUUUGGCCUCACAAGAGCUCUCUCUGUGUUGUGCUUUCCCUCAUUCAUUCUCUUUACAAAUACAAGGCUCGCAAAAAAACAAACCGAAUUACUAAAAACAUACAUAACAGAUUAAAAAAGCACGCGCCGCGCCCGUCCCCCAAUUCCUGAUUUGCGACGCUGAAAAAUAUCGCUUUCCCCAAAAAAAAAAACAAAUGAAUCAGUUACACAAAUAUAUCUAAUUUUAAAUUAAUGAAGAAGAGUAGAGAGAGAGCAAACGAGAAGGAAAGCGUAUACAAAUUAUAAUUACUAACCAGAGUUAUUAGCACCAUUACAUAUAUAUAUCCCUGCUGAAUUCCCCCUCCUCUGUUCACCAUUCGUUUCUAAAAUGGAUUAAAAAAUAACUACUAAUUAAUUUUAAUUAAAAUAGAGUGAGACACGCAAUGCAUGCAGGAGAUCUAGAAAUAAAUUACCCGUCGCGGUGGCCGUGGGUGAUUGUAAUUGACUAAUUGCAGCCGCGCGCUUUCAGGCAAUGGAGAUUUUGGGAAUGUGGCGUAUCUUAGGCCAGUCGUCUCCUGUCUCCUCUCUGUAACGUUCUUGUAAAAUAGGACAUUCCCCAAAAAUCUCCAAAUUCUGGAGCGUUGACUUCUGAAGAAGGUGAUCGGGCAGUGCUUUUAAUUUAGGGCAUCUCAAAAUAGUCAACCUAGAAAGACGCGGCAUGAUUAUGAUUUCUCCCUUCAUUGCAGUCCCGAAAUCCCACUCUUCCAAUUCUUUUAUAAAACGAAAUUCCAGCUCUUUCAAUUUGGGAAAGGCAAUAACUGAGGAGCCAUCCGUAUCACUUUCUACCCCCAGAAAUUCGUUACCCACUCUUUUCACACCCAACAUUCCGCCAAUAAGAAGACCUUCAAGGGAUGGCAAUUUUCCCAAAGGAGGCAAAUGCUCGCAAUUUCUCCACCAGAAGAGAGAUAAAUCCUUUAAGUUGGUUAACGACAUGAACCAAUUUAUGGGGACAACAUUCCUCCUCCCUCUGUAUCCAUUUAUCCGUAAUUUCUUUAAAUUAGGAGGUGGUCCCAAGGCUUCAAGAAGCCGUUCAUCUUCAUCCUCCUCAUUCUCCCUCCUCCCAGCUAGUUCUUCAUCUCCAUCUCUUAAAUGAUCAAAAUAAAGUUCCAACUCAACGAGAUAUUUCUUUUUCUCAAGUUCAGCCCUUCUAGCCUCCCCCGCAUCUGACACACCACCCAGCCCACGUAUACUACAUUGUCGAAGGAGGUUAAGCUUUUUAAGAGACCCAAGGCUACAUGCUCUAUCAUACCCUCCCCCCACAACAAACUUUGUCACAUCCCGAAGACUGAUUAAUUCCCCAAUCCCUACCGGCAAGUAUCUUAAACAAUCAGUGUCUUCAUUGUGUAAAUACAUCAGCUUUCUUAACUUCCCAAUCCCUCGAGGUAAUUCUCUAAGAUUUUCACAUUCAUCAACAUUUAAACGUUCUAAAUUAUAUAACUCACACAACGUCUCGGGUAAUUUUUCUAUCUUCUUUUGACCUUUCAAAUUAAGGUAUUUCAAAUGUAACAAUUUUUCUAUAUUUGUUGGAAUUUCCUUGAUGUCAUUCACACUUGACUGCCUAUCACCCGCCUUUAAUUUUAAUGCCCUUAAACAAGUUAAUUUAUCAAAUAAUUGAGGCAGGACUUCACUAGACCAUGAAUAUUCAUCACUUUUAACUAAGAGGCUACGCAAUCCUCGCAAUCCUUUAACAUUACCCCAAAUGGAGAUCGGAACCGAAGCCCCCCUACGUAGAGUUAACAGUAAAUGAAGGAUUUUUUUCUCCCCAAAAGAGCUAAUAGCUAACUCUUCACCACUAUGAAUUUCUACUGUUAAACAUUUAUUACUACAUAAAUAUUGGGCAAAGUCGUGCACGAUAUCGUGCAUUUUGCAAUUAGAGAUUUCACCAUCAUCACCUUUGUCAAAAUCCUGAAAGAAUGAACGGUUAGCUAAGAUGUUGAAAUACUCAUCACCAAUAUCCUCCAUCUCGUUGCCUCCUUUCUCACUAAGAUAACCUUGUGCCAUCCAUAGUUCAAUUAACUUAUGCUUCCGUAUUUCAUAGUCUUUCGGAAAGACGGCACAAUAUGAGAAACAACACUUUACCUUGGAGGGUAAUUCUUUGUAACUCAACAAUAGAGGGGCUAAAAGGCCUUUCUCAAUUGCUUCUAGUUCCCAUAUCUCACUCUCUAAGAUAUUUUGCCAUUCUUUUUCAGUGUUUUUAGACCGCAAGAGACUAGCAAUUGUCUUUGCAGCUAAAGGUAAGCCCUUGCACUUUUUUACAAUUUCUCUACCAAUUUUUUCUAAAUUUUCACAUUUUCCUAUGGUCUUACCAGAAAUUGCCAACGACUGAAACACCGACCAGCAUUCCAUUUCAGACAAUACAUUGACAGAGAUAACAUGAGUUGAUCCCAUAAUACGGGCAACUGUUUCUUUACGUGUGGUAAUUAAAAUUUUACUUCCAUGGAGACCAUUCUUUAAACAUUUGUAGAAUGGUUCCCAGUUAUAGUAAUCUUCAUUCCACACGUCGUCUAAGACAAGAAGAAAUUUCUUCCCGGCAACACAUUCUUGAAUAUGUUGCAUGAGAGAUUGAAACUCUACAAGGUCUUUGGCAGAACCUGGCUUUAGAGACUCAAUGAUUGCUCUGGCGAUCCUGAACUCAUCAAAUGGCUCUGACACACAGACCCAUGUUCUUUUGUCAAAAUUUCUUUCAACAUCACCGUUGUUGUAGGCAAAUUGAGCAAGAGUUGUUUUGCCUAUGCCCCCCAUCCCAACAAGUGAGAUGAUAGAGGGGCCUUUCUGUUCUUUACUACUCUCACAUAACAACCUAUUAACGAGUUCGUUCUUCUCUUUUUCUCUACCAAAUAUCUCGGACUCAUCAAUUGAGGAGAUGCUUGGCACUCGUUGAUCCGCUCUCUCAUUAGUAACAUUCACAACAAAACCAAAUAUGUCUUUCUGUUUGGCAAUAUCAUCAAGAGUUUCGUUGAUUUCUUUUAUCUUCAGAGCAAUGUCACGACGUAAGACAAGUGGUUUGCAGGCAAAGCAAGAUGCAGUAGGAAAGAAGGAACAUACCUUCUUGUUAGGAACGAGAGCAUCAUUCUCGUGAUCAUCCACUCCGUCGAUUUGCAGUUUGAGCCUUGCAGUGUUCCACUCACCCAACACGUCUUCCAUGUCGUAACAUGCGUCUCUGAGUUGAUCGAGCCAGAGUCUGACAGUUUCCUCCUUCACUUGCCUUUUCUCAGCAUCAUGGAGCACAGCUCGAAUGGCUCGGAGAUUGCUGGUCAGCUUCUUCGCUUCCUUUCCGACACCCGUUACUAGCCUCACUUGUUCCUUCGCCUCUUCAACAGCCAUUGAAGUCAGCUGCUCCAAGAUAGGGGAAAGGAUCGCAUCAACCAUGGUGAAAAAGAAAAAAGAGAGAGAGAAGAAAUUGAUGGUGAAUUGUUGCAAAAGUAAGUAGCUAAUGCUGAAAGAAAUGAAGGAGCUGAUAAAGUGGUGAAAAUGUUGCCGUAUUCUUUCAAUUCUUAUAGUACUGCAAGCAAAAUUCUAAUUUAGAAAUAUUUCAUUUCAGCCCCUUGUGAAAGAAGCUACUGUUAUUAUUAUUACUUUUUUUUUUUUUAAUACCAGCAAAGAGUGAAAAUGACGUACAGUUAUGGACAGGAAAUAAUAUAUUGUUAGGUCCUACAUCGGCGAUUCACGCGAUAUAUGAAACUGACAAAGUUUUCCCUGAUCACUUUUUAAAUAAUUGAACAAGUUGUUGGAUAAUAUUUGUGAUCGUGUCGUCAUAUUGAGAUUUGGAAAUAUUUGCUUUAUAUGUGUAUUAUUAGCUUAGAAAUACCUUGACCAUCUCUUUCUUAUUUCCUUCUUCUUCUUUUUUUUUUUAAAUUUGACUCGUUUGCAUAAUUAGUUGAAAGGAAAGAAUGAACAUACUAAUAAACUAGGAAAACGCUGCCACAUAAUAUUUUAAGAUUCAUAUCAAACCACUUUAUUUUAGUUUUGUCAUUUUAGCAGAUGUCUGAUAGUGGGAGUUUAGAGUUUAAUCUCUAACUUUGCUUGUGAAGUGUGAAAAAUCAAAUAAUCUGUUCAACUUGUUUUUCAACAAAAAUAGAUAACAAUUCAUCAUCACUUAUUUCUCAUUAUGUAUAAAAUGAUCAAUCUAGAGCUGGAUAUUCGCAUAUUUUUCUAUUUCUAAUCAUUUCAAAAUAUAAUAUGAACUUUAAAAAAAAAUCAAAUUGUAAUAAAGUGACAUAAAUAUUAAAAAAUGAAAAUAAAAAGUCAAAAAUGUAAUGCGGAAAAAAGACAAAACCUUUUGUUUGCUCUAUUCAUGGCAUCUAAAUAUGAGAAAUGAUGGGUUGAUUGUCAUUGUGAACAACCAUAUAAUUGCAACACGUGAAUACCAUCAAAGUUAUAAUAAUUCAUGGACCCAUGCAUCUGUAUUUCUAAUUAUUCCGUGUAGAAGGCUAAAGUUUAAACAAUAAUAUUGUUUUAAAUAUCUCAAUAACAACAUGUCCAACAAAUCAGUUUGACAUGACAUAAUUUUAGUCAUAACGACUUUGUUAUAACUGAAACAUUAUUGGGAAAUUAAUGAAGAGUACUAAAUGAAACAACGAUGAGAAAGCUUAAUUAAGCCAAACAAUUUUGAUUAUUAACUCUCUAGUCUCUCUUGCACCAUUCCAGUAAUCCUCUGAUCGAUCACACAAUCUAAUGCAUAAUCUAUUCAUUUAAUUAAUCAAUUUGAAUAUAUAUAUAUAAGUGGUGGGAUCUAGAUCUACUGCAUGAAUUUUAAAGGAACUAUAAAUUAUUUAACAAAAUCUUAUUUUAAAACGAUUGUGCGGGACACAGCACAUGGCAACCCGGGCUUUAUCUCUUUUCACUAUUCAUAUACGUAGUGGCAGACAUCGGUGGCCAAUUAAGGGAUGAACACAACCAACCACUCCACCAAGUAAAUCUUGACGCGUGUGCUUUUAUGUCCAAUUAUUCUACUGUCUUUUUCUAAUGACUUUUAUCGCAGAAGUAAUUAAUUCUGAAAGAAAUGAAGGAGCUAAUAAUGUCGUGAAAGUGCUGCCACAUUCUUCCAAUUCUUAUGCUGCAAGCAAAGCUCCAAUUUACAAAUAUUUCAUUUCAAAAUAAGUUAUUGUUAUUAUUAUCUUUCUAAAUACUUACUGGUCAAAUCCAAUCAUAGUUAUUAAUUUAUUAAGCCCACGACCUGAUAAAUAAUUUAUUAAAAGAACACCAUGUGUAAAAAUUUAAUGAUUGUAUAAAUAAUUCGGUAACAGAAUUCUUUUCACCCGUUAUUAAUUGCUUGCAGAUGACUUACUGAAAUUACAAAUACGUUAAACAUUGUUUGACUGUGAAGUGAUGAAAAAUCAAAUAAUCUUUACUAUUAGUUUUGCAAUAAUAAUAAACAACAAAUCAUAGUUACUUAUUUCUUAUUUAUUAUGCAUAAAUUGAUCUAUCCAGAGAUGGAUAUUUACAUAUUCUUCUAUUUCUAAUCAUUUUGAAAUUUAAUAGAAUUUUUUUUAAAAAAAAUCAAUUUGUAAUAACGUGUCAUAGAUAUUAAAAAAUGAAAAGAGAAAGUCAAAAUUGUAAUGCUCAAAAAAGACAACUUUUUUUUUUCUUUUUCACGGCAUAUAAAUAUGUUGUUACAGGUAAUGGAAAUUUAGGCAGCGCUUAUGUUACAUUUGCUGCAAGUAACGGCCCGACAAAAUGGAUAGUUGGAUUUGUCAAUUUUUAGAUCCAACGGCUGUAAAGAAAUUUAACACAAAAUCAGUUACAGGUAUAGGUGGUAAAAUGAUUAUUAUAAUAAAGGAUGGGCAACCUGCCAAUACGGUUUUGGAAUUAUGUACUUAAGGGGUUAUUCGAUAAUGAAAUUAUAGAGGGAAAAGAAGAAUUAUGAGCGGAUGCUCUGGGUACGCAAAAAAUUCAAGAGGCAAAAAGUACAGUAAUUAAGUUUUCAAAGAGGGGAAAAUAAGAGUAGCACCAAACGAUGUUAUCAAUUUCCUUGUUCAAUUUUGCAGAUUCACAAAUUGAUUGCGAGAUUACUACUUAAAUAUUUAACUUGUCUUGUUUCACUGGAUGGUGAGGCUUCUGCCACUGAUGAGGCAAAGAAGAGAAACCAUGUCUUGAGAAAGCUUGAGAAGCGUAAAAAAGAUCGCACGCUUGACCCACAUAUUGAAGAGCAGUUUGCUAGUGGUCGUUUGUUAGCUUGCCUCUCAUCUCCGCCUAGCCACUGUGGACGUGCUGAUGGGUAUGUGACCCCUUUUAUUGCUUUUUAGUUUUCAAGAUUUGCUGUAAGGCCCUAAAAAUGGAAGUAUUCAACAUACACCAUCAUACCUGGACUUUCAUGUUGUUGAGGCUGGAUAUAUAUAUCCGUUCCUUUCCCUUGCCUCGUAAUGGGUAUUGGACAAUUGGUAGAAGUCCUUUUUUUUUUUAUGGCAUUAAACACCUUAAGAUUUGCUUUGGAGACCAUCAAAGUUGUUCCUUGUUUUUGUUUAUUUCCAUGGUAGUUAUUGGAUAGAUACAGGAGAACAAGACAGUAUAAUGGUAAUAUUUGCUUUCUUUUUUCUUGCAUUGAUGGGCUUUUUCAUUUCCGACAGAUACAUCUUGGAGAAAGAGCUGGAAUUCUACAUAAAGAAGAUACAGGGGUGCUGGUGCUGCUUAAAUUUUUGUUUAUUGAAACUCCAUACUGGAAUUUCUAGUCUUGCCUUGUGUUCUUAUUUUUAGUCUUAAUUAAGUUAAGAGAGUUGAGAUGAUAUCAGCAGUUGAACCUGGAUUUCUCACUUGUGUUAUUGUUACAUUUUGUUUUUGAAUGUUACCAGUGCCUGUCUUAGAAUUUCUUCCGUUCCUCUACGUUUUUCAUGAUUCUGUCUGCGUGAUCAAUGAAUUUGGUAGUUAAUGCCUUAAUGGUUAUUGCUUAAGGUUGAUAUAUUAAUUCCAUACCGAAAAUGAACCUGGUAUAUCUACGCAUGUGCAAUACAAUAACACAACCAUUUUAGGCACUAGUUAUGGGCAAGGCCAUCCCUAAAUAUACAAAUAACUGGGUUAAUGUAUUUUGUUUGGAAUUAGUUUCAUGUAAAAAUUAUUUUCUAACAUCUUUUCUAUAACAUUAUUUUUGUUGGCCUGAAGUUUGUGUGAGAGGAUUCUCUCUACAUGGAAUCUAGUUUCUCGACCUUUUCCCAUUUGUGCACCAUAUGUUGUGGUAAUAGAUGAGCAAAAAUCACGAUCCGUGAAUUUGCUAUCACAAGAACAAUCAAAGUAUGUAUCGAGGAACCAAUAAAGUGUUGGCUCCACUGGCAAUGGAGUCCUCCUUAAGUGGCUUGACUGAGUUUGCUCCUCAGUUUGAGUCGCAAGAAAAUCGCCUUUGUUAGGAGAACCUGUGCCUCCCGGUUCGAGCGGAGACUUCUAAUUUGAGCUGUGGUACGGACUUAAAGGUGCCUUCCACAGUUGGGGCCCUCCCCAGAAUACCUCGUGGUUAAGACAAAAAAAAAAGUAUGUAUUGAGGAAGCUCAUGGGGAUGAACGAAAAGCAAGCCGUUGCAGCUUAUUGAAAUAACAAGCAACAGUAAUUGGUUACUGAAACAAGAACAUGUAUUUCAUAAUUAAUACACCAUUUCUCUCUUAGGGAAAGCACGAUACCAUUUCUCUCUUAAGGAAGCGCAAUUGCAAUUGCGAUCAUAUUUCGGUAACAAAAACCAAACCAUGCAUGAUAAGCAUAUGAUAAAAAGUAGAGAAACAGGGGCAGCUGCUAUGUCUAAGAGUCAUUUCAUCAUACAUAUGGAAGGCGAUUUAACUGCAACCUGAGGUAUCCGGUACAGUCAAGAAAUCAAACAUGGGUAAUCAAGUUUUAUAUCACAUAUAUACACUACCCUCACAUAAAUUACAUUUCUUUACUCUAAUAAUAAUAAUAAAAAAAAAAUCGAAUAACGAAACAAAUUAUAAAAUUUUCGAAACACUCCCUCACAUCUGAAACCGUAGCUCCCCGUCAUUUCUCUAUGUAGUAAUAGUAGGCAGAACUCUGAAAUAAUUUGUUUUUUCCCCCAUUUUUUCAGCUUUUAUUCAAUAAUUUCCGUUAUAAAAUUGUUUGAAUAUUUCACAGAUUAAGUUUCAGAGGGGAGCUAUUGCUUCCUUCAAUAAACGGAUAAUGAGAUUAUGGAUUCUAAAGUGUUGAAAGCCAUAUAAUUUUUUUUUUAAUUUCAAAUUUUCUUUUUCUUUUCGAAAUUUUCAGUGAUAUGCUUAUCUAAUCUUCAACCGGCUAUUAUCAGGAAUGGAUAGGAUUGACUCUACCGUUGACACAUUUUGCAACUGGUUUCAACAUGUUUUUCAUACUGCCCCUUACUGACACGUGCUUCUCUUAUGUGAGUCAAUUGAUCACCUCACUUAUGUUACUUACACCAAAUGUAACAUAAGCUUACCCUGGAAUUUAUACCCCACAAAGGGAAUUUUCUUCCACAAAUGAUAUGAGAAUGUCGGGUGAAACAUGUGAAUGGGAAACUGCCUUACGAUUGCAGCAUGUGAACACUUGAAUUUCUUUUUGACAGAGCACAAUGAUAACUUACAGGUACUGCAAUAUUGCAUGAAGAUUCCUGGAAGUAGCCUGCAGCUCAAAUUAAUAAUUUUCUUUUGAACAAAACCAACCAACAAUAAUUUUCAAACCUGGAAGAUACUCAUUAAAAGAUGGAUCUUCAUCAUUUUUUUCCUCCCCACAACCCACCCACUAAAAACUUUAUUCAUUUAGUGUAACUUUUUAGUUUUGUUAGAAGAUACUUAGAACUGCCGAUAUCUUCCAAUUAUUGUUUUAAAAAUCUCAGUUGGCAUGCCCAAUUAACAAAUCAAUAGUCUUUGUUCGACAUAUUUAAAACAAAAAACAAAAAAAUCACACAUUGGUUUGAUGAGAGAUGAAAAGAAAAAGGAACACACUUACGAUCAUCAUUGCAGACGAUAUACACCAAGUAAAUCUUGAGACGUGCUUUUUCUAAUUAGCCAACUUUUUUUUUUAGGGAUAAAAAGAGACCGUCUCUUUUUCUUUUUCUUUUUUUCAUUAUUCAUAGUGGGAGACAAUGGUGGGGGCCUAGGGAUGAAAGUAAAAUUAAAAAUUAAACGUGAAUUAUGUGGUAAAAGUAUUUAAAUUAGAUAGUUGUAAGUUAAAAGUUAUAAUAUUAAAGUGUUUGGUUAACAUUAGUUGUUGUAACUUAAAAUAUAUAUUUAUAUAAUUUUUCAGCUGUAUAAUAAAAAAUUUAUUAUAUUUUUAAUAAUUUUAUUAAAAUUAUUAUUUAAAAUUUAUAUUCAUUAUAUUAUGAAGUUUUAUUUUAUAAUUACAUAUUAUGGGAUGUAAAGGAGUUUGGGAGCUGUAGCCUUUAGUUGGCUUAGGGAGAUGUUAAAGUUUUGAGAAAUGCUUAGAAAUUUAUUUUAUAAUUUGUUUUAAAGUUUAUUUUAUAAUUUAUUUAUAACGUAUAUAAUACGCUCUCAAUUUUAUUACUAUAAAGUUGAAUCUAUUUUAUUUACUUUAUAAUUUUUUUAUUCGGGUUCACUGACCGUGUACUCCAGCUAGAUUCUAAAAACAAAAAAUGAAAAUAUAGUCUAGAGAAAUAACAUCGAACAGACUCUUAACUUAUCAUCUUCACAUCAUCAUUUUGAAUUUCUUUAAUUAAUUCUUUUCAUUUUACUCUUCAAUAAUAAAUGUCACUUCAACUCGUGUGUGUACAUAAUAUAGGAUAGAAAAAUAAUGUCGAACAAACUCUAACAUAUCAUCUUCGAAUCAUCUUUUUGAAUUUCUUUAAUUAAUUCUUUUCAUUUUACUCUUCAUUAAUAAAUGUCACUUCAACUCGUGUGUGUAUAUAUUCAUACUAUAGAAAUUAAAAGUUUGAGUUUACUAUUGUAGAUGAAGUUAUGUUUUAAUUAUUAUUACUAUUACUAUUAAUUAAUUUAUAUUAUUAUUAUUUUUUGUUAAGUUAUUAUCAUUAACUAUUACCUCUGAUUUAUUAUUGUAUUAUUAACCACAACAAAUAAAUAAUAAUAAUAAUUUAUUUGAGGACAAAAGUAAAAUUAUGAAAUUUAUAAGGUGGUAAAAUAGAGAGUUCAAGGAAUAGAAACUUAAUUUCCUAUCCCCUCAUAGAAAUCAAGUUUAUGUUCUUUAAUUCCCAAAAACACGAGCCCUAUAUGUUUCAUUCCCAUUUCUAUCUAUAUUUAAGUAAGUAAACAUCAUCAAUCAUUUUCGUUUUGAAUUAUGAUUUUUCAAUCCAAAAAGUAGAUGCCAGUAAAAGAGAGAGUUAAACUUGACUCACCCGCUUUUCUAAUUGUUCUGAUUUGUUGUAUAAUUUAUUCUAAAGUUAUUUUAUAAUUUAUCUAAAACGUAUAUAACACGUUCUCAAUUUUAUUACUAUAAACUUACGCUGUAUUGUCUAGUCUUAGUAAGUAACGACUCAAUUGGAUGUGGGAGGAUCCCUUCCGCUUUGACCAAAAAAACUGUUUCGAGGACAGUAUUCUAACUCAACUCAAGUGCGGAACAAAGAAAGAAACGCUAAGAACGUUAAUGAAAGUUAACAUACAGAGCAAACUAGUCAAGAGCACACACAAGAGGAGAAAUAAUUAACACUAUUAUUUUACAUGGUUGAGUUUCUCUAAGCCCACGUCCACGAAGACAGACACUUGGCUACAUGCAUGCAUGCUUUAUUAAUUGACCAAGGAAUUUACAAGGAAACUCUCUUUUCCAGAAGUUACAAGAGCCCUGACACUAUUCCUCUCGAGGUCUAGUUCAAGUCGCCCAAGCCUCUCAAGCUCCCUUAAGAACUCUGCUUUCUUGCUGUUCAAGAAAGCGCCUGAUUGGAAUCACAUGCUCCACGUGACAUCUGGCAUAACAAAAUCUGCUGCCGUACCCGGCCAAUUUAUGAUGCCACUUAUGAUACCCUUUCACGUCAGCUUCCCUUGCCCUGCGUCAUCAUAGGACCUUACAUCUUGGAACCUACAUGAAACCUGAAUCUCUAACAGCCCAUCAUAAAAGAUAUUAGUUUUAAAAUAUGGAAAUUACCAAAAAUACCUGCGCAUUUUGAAAUUUGUCAAAAAAUGAAGAGUAGAAAGCAAUAGGAAAACGUAAUUAACCAACCAAUUUGAUUCCUCUGAUCGCUUUCAUCUCAGGACUCUUUGUCUUCCCGUGCGUCUUCGAUUCCACAGGACAAUCUUGGAUUGAAUUUAUACAUCAGAAGAAAAUAUCAGUAUGCCCAAAAUAAAAAAAGGUGUCAUAUAGAAGUAUUCUGUCGCAGACUUAACAUAUCUAUCAAGUAAGUAAUUAAUAAUUCCUAGUUUUAAAAGUAGAGCAAUUGGAUAUCAAGUCCGUAAAUUCAAGAUAUAAUAACUCUUGACAAUUAUAUAUUCAUAUGCAUGUUAGUAGCAUGAUGCUACCAAUAUUCGCACCUUUAGCAUUCAAACACUUGAUCAUUGAAAGAAUUUAAGAAAAAUGUUGUUUGGUUACUGAGAAAAUAUCUCAACAAAAUUUUCAGAGAACUUUCCGGAAUUCUUGCCUUUAUUUCACUUAAUGAAAAAUGUUACAAUUACAUUCAAUUUAUAUUCGAUGCUUUAGCAUUACUAUAACUAACUCAGAACAUACUACACAUGCUUAACUACAGCUCAAUAGAUACAGAGUAAGUCAUAACAAACUUUUAACUACUUAUGCUGAGGUGGCAACUGAGCUGUUAUUCCGCUUAAUCAUCUGACGUCACCAACUUGUUGGUUUUCCUCAGCUCGAGCGUCUUCUUCCUUUCUGUACAAUGAGCUUCUUUAACAACCACUGAAGCAGCCUUUCUCACCAACCUAGCUCCGACAUUAAUCUAUAGAGUUAUCAAGACCGACAUUCGAUGACGUAAUCACAUAAAGUUGCGCUUAUGCCUACAAAAUGGCUGAAUAACUAACCAAUUCGAUUCCUUAUUGCACCAUUCCUGAAUCCUGUCCUCUGAUACUGUAGGCCUCUUCCCGUCUUCCAUAUCGCAAGACACUUCACCUAGCCCAAAACAUACCGUUCUUGGCUUGAAAAUGGAAAGUCUCGUGCAGUGCAGAAAUCAGAGGAAUUAACCCACUUAUGACCAUCGUGUGUGUAUAUAGUAGACGAUGUAAUUAGAUAUCUAAUGAGUGUUUAAGAUAUUACAGAUUAAAAUGUUGCAUACUCUGGACAUUAACAUAACAUAAAAUUUGAUCCACAAUUUACUCAAUUUCUGAGUUAGCUUACCAAAAGUAUUGUAGCAGAAAUAACCAAAUCAACCCAGGUCCUUAUAUGGAGCCCCUGCGCGUCAAUUAAAGUAAAAGCUCGAUCCUCUGUUAUCCGAAAUGGUCAAACAAACAUUAAACCAAAAUGUUGAAGUCUCUUUCUUUUGCAAUUCUAGCUCUAACUGAUGAGAUUGAUCGAAAAGAAUAACCAACAUUAAGAUUAAUUUUUAUUUCCAUUUCUAGGAAAUGGAGAAUUAAAUGGAAUUCUCUCAGUAAAGCUCACCAAUAUCUGUCUCCGUCAUCACAUAGAUAUAUCAGACUAGCUAUCUAAUCCUUUUAUUUUAUUUUUUUCCUUUUUCAUUCAACAGCUUCAGCAUAUAACAAGAAAGCUUGGGCUCCUACAAUGUUUAGGCCUCAUCACGAUUAAGUACUCGUACGGUGGCGCAAGUAGCAGGCCUGGCGCCACUCUGGAUCUGCUAGAGAAAAAAAUUUUACACAUGCGCCCUGAAAAUCUGUUACAUAAAUUAUGUCCUAAUAAUCAGCAAUAAUUCAAAGAUGCGGAUAAAAAAAACACUAUAAUGUACAAACAUACACCUUGUUUAUAUUUUUUGUAUCACAUGAGACAUAAACUCCUCAAGAGUCAAGUCCGACAUUUAAUUCAACCCAUAAACUUGUGCUUGUAGCCCGCAUAAAUGGUUAAACAAAUAUUAUAUUUUCGACUUGAAGAUUGGAUUACAAAUAUAUAAUAGGAAAGUAAAAUGGAGGAGGAGAAAGAAAUUACCUGUAGUAGUUGAGAAAUUACUGCCAAAAAUAAACUUACCCGUAGGAAUUUUAUUUGGUUAGUAAUUGAGAAAGAAAUUACCUUAGGUGAUGACUGAAAGGAAUUUAGAUCUAUCAAAAAUAGAUGUAAGCAAUUAAAAACUAAAAAUUAAUUACUUAAUUAAUUUUUUCAGAAGUGCUGUUCAUUGUUACUGUUUACGGUUCUGUUCACCACAACUGUUUACAGUUACUUUACAAUUAUUGUUUAUCCACAUAAAAAAUAUUAAUUUUCCAAAAACACAAUAAAAUGCCGAAAAUAAAUUAUACAGAAAUUUUUACGUGGUUCGUAUUAAUCAAUCCUACAUCCACGUGGGCACGCCAAGAUGAAAAACAAUCACUAAGUUGAGAUGUUACAACUUAUGGAUUUACCAAACUUAAGACUCUCACUUACAGUUUAUCACCAUACAGUUUACUCAACCUUAGACUGAAUCUGCUUCUCUUAAAUAAUUGCUACCCCUCUUGAUCCACGAUCCUCAAGGCACUUUGCAAAGUGAUCAAUAGCAAUUCUUCAAUUCUUCAACGUCUAGUGAUCCAAGAUUGACAUAGAGUCUCAACAGAGAUAAAAAGAAGAUAAUAAAACAAAUCAACACAACAUGGUGCGCCAAAUUCGGAUUCUCUGGGGAGGAGGCCGAAUUUUGUUUCUCUACUUUAUACUUUGUGUUGUGCCUGUCUUCAAUUGUGAAAUACCUCUAUUUAUAUAGGCAAUAGGGUUUCACCAAAAUAGCAAGUUUGAAAAAACUUAGAUACUUUCCAAAUAAGAGUUUGUUUCCUCUUAUAAUUCCUAUGAAUCUGAAUAGGAAUAAAUAUGAUCUUCUUGCAUUACUUGUCUCCGAAGAAAUAUCUAGAGCAUUUAAUGACUUCUUGUUUGAACCAACUUCUUGCUCUAAAUAGAUCUCAUGCACUAAUAAUAGAAUCCCACCAUUAAUUGACUUGCUAAAAUAGACAUUUAAUUAAAUUAGGAAACAAAUAUUCCUAAUAAAUUGGAAUCUCACUAAAUUAGGAAAUUAAUAAAUUAAUCCCUAUUACAAGAUAUGCAAUAAAUAAACUUCCAAUUUAACUAGAACUUAACAAUGGUGACGGUACUCGUUUUAAAAAUCCUCAAGGUUCGAAUUUGACAUAUUGGUGAUUGAUUAGGAUGCUGGGAAUGUGGCAUAUCUUGGGGCAGUCCUCUCCUGUUUCCUUUAUGUGAUGCUCUUCUAAAACAGAACACGAACUAAUACCUGAAUCCUGCAGUGUUGUUUGUUGUGCGCAGAAUGCGAAAUCAAACGCACCAAAUAAUCAUAGAAAAAUAAAGGACACAAAAUUUAACUCAGAUACUAUCUAUGAAUAAUAUAACUCAGUACCUCACUUCAUGCAAGCUUUGAUAUAUUAUUCCUUCUAUCUAUUUAUCCACUGCUAAUUGUUUUAUAAAAAAUUUGGUGCACUGAAGUGAACCCAAUAACUCCUAGCUAGAAGCAACAAUGUCCAAUUAAGCCGCUGAUACAAUCAAUCAAACAAUAAGGAAAGGAUCAACAACACAAAAAGCACACGCAAGGCACAAAGAUUUACAUGAUAUAUCCACAGGUGGCGAUGCUGGUAUCCACUAUACGUGUGAUGAAAACAAGUGUAUAUAUAUAAAGAACACCACCUGUCUCCUCACAAUAAGCCCCUAGAAUACAAGCGCAAAUAAAAAUAAGCCCAUUCCUGCUCUGCUCUGCCCUCAUGUACGUAACUCCUCUGCUAAGAAAUAUUGCCUUAAAAUAUCCGUAGCAUAUGCAUGGAUGACCAGCAAAUCAGUUAAGACAUAUAAAAUUACCAUCCACACAGGAAAUCAGCAAAUCAGUGGUUUCAGGAAUUUGUAAUUGAACAUCAGAAUAUGAAGGGUACAGAGCAAUGGGAAAAAGUAAUUAACUAACCAAAGAAUUUAAAAUCCAAAUAAGAUAAUUAACGUAUGAAAGCUGGGUUGAAGCCCACCUUAGAGCCCCUGUCUAUGAAGGCCAAUAAAUCUCCUGUUAUCUGUUUGCUUAGAUCUUUAUGUAUUCCUAUACACUUUUUACUCUACUCUGUUGUUCAACCUUCCUUGGCUUUAUGUAUCUAUUUUAUGUGUAUUGAGAAGGCUAGUUACUAGGUGUCAACUCUUCUCUUUAAAAGAUAAAGUUUUGAGAAAAGGAAAGAAAGACACCCACUGCCAGCUACCUUGUCAUAUGUUGCAUACCAAAAUUGGAUAUUAAUUAUGGUCACUGUAUUCAACCUGCUAACCAAAUUCAAAAAAAUUAGUCUUCCCGAUUGAGUAAGUGAGCCCUGAAAAGACAUUACCCAGCUUAAAAGCCAAAUGAAUGUAGACUUGUGAUUGGUGUAAUUGGUUUUAAAGAAAUUAGUAUGCAUCCCCACUGAAAGCCAGUAAAUAGAGUUGAAGAAGAUGCUAAUGUGCCACAGCUAACAUAAGCAUAAUUUGAUCAGCCGAAUGACUACCAAAUGAAAAAGCAACAUAAACUUAACAGAACUGUUAGGAUUAAUCGAAGACACAUAUAUUUGUGCCAAUUUUCACACCUUUAGCAUUCAAACCUUGCUCUAGAACAACUGCUGUGGUCCGAUGCUGCAGGCAAAAAAUUUGACCUACGAAGCAGCCUCACUCACCAACCUAGCCCCAAAUAAAUUUUUUGAAAUGCCUUGAAAACCUUAACAUUAUAUCCAAAUAAACAUAACUUGUGUUUGUGACGUAAUGAGAUUGCAGUGCAUUCGUAGAGUGUACACUUAUCUGCCAUUUCGGAACAAUUUUUUUUUACUUCUCUUAAAAUUUGCAUAAGAAAUAGCAAUAUGGACAAGUACCUACUUAUGAAAGUGUUAAGAUAUUUUUACAUUUCUUCUUUUUCUUUCAAGGAGUAAAAGUAAUUAUUCAUUUUGUUGAUGCCCAUUUACUCUAUAAAUGCCAUCAUGACCACUGAGAUAUGUUCAUGAAUAAGCAUCUACCAUCAGAUCGAUUCGAAAACGGAAAGGAAUAGAGAAAUAAAAGGUGAAACAAAUGAAAUAAUUAAGGAGAGGAACGAGAUUCUGUUGUCUGGUUAUAACUGGAAAUCAAGCAUGAAAAAGGAAUUGAUUUUUCUUUUUUGGUUGACAGAAUACACUUUCAACUAUAAGAAAAAAAAGAAAAUUUGAAUUUGAUAUUUAACAGAAAAUUCAAAUAAAAUCAAAUUCAUUUGUAAUUUAAGUUCAUUUCAUUCUUAAAAUUUGACAUAUAGAAUAAAAUUUAUAACUGUUUCAAAU